UAAGACGUAGGAUGCAAGCGUUGUCCGGAUUUAUUGGGCGUAAAGAGUUCGUAGGUGGUUCGUUAAGUCUGAUGUUAAAGACCGGGGCUCAACUUCGGGACUGCAUUGGAUACUGGCGGACUUGAGUGUGGUAGAGGCAAUCGGAAUUCCAGGUGUAGCGGUGAAAUGCGUAGAUAUCUGGAAGAACACCGGUGGCGCAAGCGGAUUGCUGGGCCAUAACUGACACUGAGGAACGAAAGCUAGGGGAGCGAAUGGGAUUAGAUACCCCAGUAGUCCUAGCCGUAAACGAUGGAUACUAGGCGUAUCGGGUAUCGACCCCUGAUGUGCCGUAGCUAACGCGAUAAGUAUCCCGCCUGAGUAGUACGGCCGCAAGGUUG
rnacentral:rRNA from 1 species